AUUGAACGCUGGCGGCAGGCCUAACACAUGCAAGUCGAGCGGAUGAAGGGAGCUUGCUCCUGGAUUCAGCGGCGGACGGGUGAGUAAUGCCUAGGAAUCUGCCUGGUAGUGGGGGAUAACGUCCGGAAACGGGCGCUAAUACCGCAUACGUCCUGAGGGAGAAAGUGGGGGAUCUUCGGACCUCACGCUAUCAGAUGAGCCUAGGUCGGAUUAGCUAGUUGGUGGGGUAAAGGCCUACCAAGGCGACGAUCCGUAACUGGUCUGAGAGGAUGAUCAGUCACACUGGAACUGAGACACGGUCCAGACUCCUACGGGAGGCAGCAGUGGGGAAUAUUGGACAAUGGGCGAAAGCCUGAUCCAGCCAUGCCGCGUGUGUGAAGAAGGUCUUCGGAUUGUAAAGCACUUUAAGUUGGGAGGAAGGGCAGUAAGCUAAUACCUUGCUGUUUUGACGUUACCAACAGAAUAAGCACCGGCUAACUUCGU
rnacentral:rRNA from 1 species